rnacentral:rRNA from 9 species
UAUUGAGAUUGACUCUAGUCCGACUUUGUGGAAUGACUUGAGAGGUGUAGGACAAGUGGGAGCAUGUCCCCUCCUUUUGGCUCCAAGGCCCGGCUUUACCGGGCCGAUCUGGGCGGAAGACAUUGUCGGGUGGGGAGUUUGGCUGGGCGGCACAUAUGUUAAAAGAUAACGCAGGUGUCCUAAGAUGAGCUCAACCAGAACAGAAAUCUUGUGUGGAACAAAAGGGUAAAAGCUCGUUUGAUUCUGAUUUCCCUUUGUCAGUCAGGCCGCAUAACAACAUACGUUGUUCCCUUUGUCAUCGGUAUGUUACUUGCCCGAGAUUCGAUCGUCGGUAUCCAAUACCUAGUUCAAUCUCGUUACCGGCAACUCUCUUUACUCAUUCCGUAAUACAUCAUCUCACAACUACCAUA